GUUAGGAAUAUUGGACAAUGGGGGCAACCCUGAUCCAGCCAUGCCGCGUGUGUGAAGAAGGCCUUAGGGUUGUAAAGCACUUUCGGCUGUGAAGAUAAUGACAGUAGCAGAAGAAGAAGCUCCGGCUAAAUUCGUGCCAGCAGCCGCGGUAAUACGAAUGGAGCGAGCGUUGUUCGGAAUCACUGGGCGUAAAGGGUGCGCAGGCGGUCUUGAAAGUUAGAAGUGAAAGCCCCGGGCUUAACCCGGGAAUUGCUUUUAAAACUCCAAGACUAGAGUACUGGAGAGGUUGGCGGAAUUCCAAGUGUAGCAGUGAAAUGCGUAGAUAUUUGGAGGAACACCGAUGGCGUAGGCAGCCAACUGGACAGUAACUGACGCUCAUGCACGAAAGCGUGGGGAUCAAACAGGAUUAGAUACCCGAGUAGUCC
rnacentral:rRNA from 1 species